UCACAAAUGAAAAUAGUUGAUUUUUAUAGCAGAUAAAGAUGUAUCACAGAUUCGUAACAAAUGGGUAAAUAAGCAGCUAAAAAAUGUUGUUGACGGGGUCAAUACAUUUCUACAUUCUUAUAAUUCUAUUUUGAUCUAGCGAUGAUGUGAGCUCGGUUCGUCGCAUAUGAGUUAUUAAGAAUUGACGCGCACAAUUCACGAUCCGGCCAAAUUCCUAUCACAUUCGGUUAUUUCUUCGUGAGAUGUAGUUCUCUUAAGACUUUGUGAGGAUUAAACGAUGCCACAACGAACACUGUUGUUUCCGCCGGGGCCUGUAAGAGCAUUGCCCACCGAUCCGUUUGAUUGGUCAGUGGAACAGGUUUGCGCCUUCGUUGCCCUCCACGACGCUUCGAAUACGCGUAUCACCCGAGCACUCCGUAUAGAAGAAAUUGAUGGGCCGGCAUUUCUACUACUAACCACAGCAGCGUGUACUGGACACCCAUUAAAUCUCGAACCUCGGGAAGUGACAAGGCUGUGUGAGAUCGUUGAGUUAGCAAAAUUUAAAUACGCUAAAAUGCAUAUAGAGCCGUAUUUUUAGCCGCGAUCUUAUACUUUUGGCAUAAACCCCAAUACGUGAUCACCAAUUAACCACAGGACGUUAUGGCAUUUGUUAAAAUUAUGGACUAUCAACUUUUAUGUAUAUAGUGUUUUUAGCUCUCGUCGAAUCAGAAUUUUUGAUAUUAGGGCGUUCUUAAUUUUAAAAAAUACACCAGGGAUUCUCACGGGUGAUUGUUAUAUCGUUGUAUGAUAAGUGUGUCUAUCAAAUACACUGUACAGUUACAUUAAUUUCAUCACGACAAAAUUGUAUAGGUAUUGCAUAGAUACCGUAUGAUAUUUGAGAAUAAAAAAAGCUAUUUAUAUAAAUAAGGUACAACCUGUUGAUAUCUUAAGUUAGAUGGGGUGAGGAUUGUUUCCGAUCAAGGUUGAAAUAACUUUUACAUAAUGCCUUCCGCAACAAGUUAAAAUUUUGCAAAGCUCCAGGAGUUAGGUGAUGUUCCCACUCACACAACAAUCCUACACCCACUAGUUAUUCCUGUGCUCACAUAGGCGCAUUUUGUCUACCUUAUUCCAGAUCCGACUACGAUCAAAUUAUAUGCUGCGCCACAUAAUACGAUCACUUUUUGUAGGCUUUGUAGUAUUGAGCAUUUGGUCUGACCAGUUAAGUGGCCAACUACAUAUAAGG